rnacentral:snRNA from 1 species
AUUCUCUGGUUUCUCUUCAGAUCGCAUAAAUCUUCUGCCUUUUACCAAAGAUUUCUGUGGAGAGGAACAAUUCUGAAUCUUUUUUUUUUAAUAAAAAGGAAA